UACGUAGGGUGCAAGCGUUGUCCGGAAUUAUUGGGCGUAAAGAGCUACGUAGGCGGUCUGUCGCGUCUGCUGUGAAACUCAGGGCUUAACCCUGAGCUUGCAGUGGGUACGGGCAGACUAGAGUGCGGUAGGGGAGAAUGGAAUUCCGGUGUACGCGGUGAAAUGACGCAGAUAUCGGGAGGAACGACCGGUGGCGCAGGCGGUUCAGCUGGGUCCU
rnacentral:rRNA from 1 species